rnacentral:rRNA from 1 species
CCUACGGGAGGCUGCAGUGAGGAAUAUUGGUCAAUGGACGAAAGUCUGAACCAGCCAUGCCGCGUGCAGGAUGACGGCUCUAUGAGUUGUAAACUGCUUUUGUAUUAGGGUAAACACCCCUACGUGUAGGGGCUUGAAAGUAUAAUACGAAUAAGGAUCGGCUAACUCCGUGCCAGCAGCCGCGGUAAUACGGAGGGUGCGAGCGUUAAUCGGAAUUACUGGGCGUAAAGCGCUCGGCGGCGGUAUGGCAAGUAAAGGGUUAAAUCCCCGCGCUCAACGUGGGAACUGCCUUUGAAACUGGCAAACUGGAGGGUGUGAGAGGAUAGUGGAAUGCCAGGUGUAGGAGUGAAAUCCGUAGAUAUCUGGAGGAACAUCAGUGGCGAAGGCGACUAUCUGGCACAUAACUGACGCUGAGGAGCGAAAGCGUGGGUAGCAAACAGGAUUAGAUACCCCUGUAGUC